ensembl:lncRNA PCDH9-AS2 PCDH9 antisense RNA 2
UACAGGACAAGAAAGAAGAUGUUUUUAUGGAAGGAAGAAUAGCUGCAAAGCACUCAACUCAAUGCAUAGCUGCAGUGAAUAGAACAAACAAGAGGCUGGCUGCAUUGUGCUAUUGAAGUACAAAAGAAUAAAUCAAAUGAAGUGUCCUCAGCAGGAAAAGCU